GGAUUGAGGAGGGUUAUCCAAAUAUUGAAUUCUUAACCCCUCUUCUGUUCCCUAGACCUCUUUCUUCUUCCCCGAAAGUACUUUUACGAAGAACGAAGAAGUUUAUAUACGAUGGCUUCCAGCGAGGGCAAGCCUCGUCAGGGGCUGUAGUUCCAUCAACAUAUACCGCUGCAGAAUGUUCAGGAUGUUGUACUAGAUGUUGUAACAGGAUUUUAUACAGGAACAAUAAUGUUCAGAAUAUUGCACUCUAUUUAUACUAAAUACUGAGCAGCUGACAAGGUUCAAUACUUCGAUUCCCAGGUUCUGUGUGUUCUGGGCAGAUUUAAAGUUUUUUGUUGAAGCCGCCUUCUGAAGCGAUGGAAUAUAUUCACAGCCAGUUCGCAGUCGAGUUGCAGCUUUGAGAACAGAAUUCUAUCACAUACACGAGAGAUAUGCCAUACUCAUUUUACACGGCGCGAGGCAGUUUAAUACCAACUUCUUGGACUAUUAUAAAUAUAAUAACAAAGAAAACGUACAAUACGAACGUGUUUGGUAACUCUGACAAGUGACAACAAAAAUUACUGCUCCAACACAGCGACUUUACACUCAAUUACUCAUAUUAACCAGGGCGCUAUAAAGCUUCGACGUGCUCAGUAAACAUAUAAAAUUAUAUGGCUCCUAAUUUGAAUAAUAACAUGAAAAUCAUCUCUGUAUGUUUAUAGGUUACUUUAUAAUAGGUAUGUAUACCUUUAUUUAUAUAUGUAGGGCAUUUUGUAGAUGGAAGUUUCGAGUGGAAUUUUUAUACAUUUAUAACAGACCUACGGCUACGAAAAAUGUAACUAUCAUCCCACAUUCCCACUGCCGUUCUGGCUACAGCGUUGUAUGACUUAUGACUGAAAUUUAAUGAAAUACUCCUAAAACAGUAUUAAUUAUACUACUCUAGGAGGAGUUAUACUUAUAUACUGAAAAACUAGAUAAUAUUUAUAGUUAUUUACAAGAAAGACUUCAUAAUCACUGUAUGACACAUAUAUUUAGGCGGUAAUUAGAAUGAUGUUGUUUAUAUAUGCUAUUAUUAACAACGGCAAAACGACAAUAACAACAACAACACUAAGACUACAAAACGAACAUACAGCUAUAUGUAAGAGUUAUAAACCGAGUAGGAGGUUUAUAACUGAUAUAUUGACCCGAGGACGCGUAGCGUCCGAGGGGCAAUAUAUCAGUUAUAAACCGACUUACUCGGUUUAUAACUAACUUAUAUCACACUUGCGGAGGUUUUCCAACAUAUUUUGUCAUUUUCAAAAAUUUUUGAUGAAAAAUUCUCGCGUUUUGUCUACAAGUUUAAUCCAAUCAUUUAUUCAAGGUCUAUAAGCUAGUUAUAAACCUCGGACGAACAAAGAAAACCGACGCAAGUGUGAUAUAUUAAAGUACAAUACAAACGAUUCAAAACGAUAGACUAAUUAGCUACAUUAAGUGACUUAAUAAUUGAAGGCAUGGCAAGUGUUUUGAAACUUGGGUCGUGAUUGGCAAAGAUUGUUAAAUGGGAU